rnacentral:rRNA from 1 species
UAGAGUUUGAUCAUGGCUCAGGACGAACGCUGGCGGCGUGCCUAAUACAUGCAAGUAGAACGCUGAAGAGAGGAGCUUGCUCUUCUUGGAUGAGUUGCGAACGGGUGAGUAACGCGUAGGUAACCUGCCUUGUAGCGGGGGAUAACUAUUGGAAACGAUAGCUAAUACCGCAUAACAAUGGAUGACACAUGUCAUUUAUUUGAAAGGGGCAAUUGUUCCACUACAAGAUGGACCUGCGUUGUAUUAGCUAGUAGGUGAGGUAAUGGCUCACCUAGGCGACGAUACAUAGCCGACCUGAGAGGGUGAUCGGCCACACUGGGACUGAGACACGGCCCAGACUCCUACGGGAGGCAGCAGUAGGGAAUCUUCGGCAAUGGGGGCAACCCUGACCGAGCAACGCCGCGUGAGUGAAGAAGGUUUUCGGAUCGUAAAGCUCUGUUGUAAGUCAAGAACGGGUGUGAGAGUGGAAAGUUCACACUGUGACGGUAGCUUACCAGAAAGGGACGGCUAACUACGUGCCAGCAGCCGCGGUAAUACGUAGGUCCCGAGCGUUGUCCGGAUUUAUUGGGCGUAAAGCGAGCGCAGGCGGUUUGAUAAGUCUGAAGUUAAAGGCUGUGGCUCAACCAUAGUUCGCUUUGGAAACUGUCAAACUUGAGUGCAGAAGGGGAGAGUGGAAUUCCAUGUGUAGCGGUGAAAUGCGUAGAUAUAUGGAGGAACACCGGCGGCGAAAGCGGCUCUCUGGUCUGUAACUGACGCUGAGGCUCGAAAGCGUGGGGAGCGAACAGGAUUAGAUACCCUGGUAGUCCACGCCGUAAACGAUGAGUGCUAGGUGUUGGAUCCUUUCCCGGAU